rnacentral:rRNA from 1 species
AUUGAACGCUGGCGGAAUGCUUUACACAUGCAAGUCGAACGGCAGCACGGACUUCGGUCUGGUGGCGAGUGGCGAACGGGUGAGUAAUAUAUCGGAACGUGCCCAGUCGUGGGGGAUAACGUAGUGAAAAUUACGCUAAUACCGCAUACGAUCUAUGGAUGAAAGCGGGGGAUCGCAAGACCUCGCGCGAUUGGAGCGGCCGAUAUCAGAUUAGGUAGUUGGUGAGGUAAAGGCUCACCAAGCCGACGAUCUGUAGCUGGUCUGAGAGGACGACCAGCCACAAUGGAACUGAGACACGGUCCAGACUCCUACGGGAGGAAGCAGUGGGGAAUUUUGGACAAUGGGCGCAAGUCUGAUCCAGCCAUUCCGCGUGCAGGACGAAGGCCUUCGGGUUGUAAACUGCUUUUGUACAGAACGAAAAGGUCUCUAUUAAUACUAGGGGCUCAUGACGGUACUGUAAGAAUAAGCACCGGCUAACUACGUGCCAGCCGCCGCAGUAA